rnacentral:rRNA from 1 species
AACACGGACCAAGGAGUCUAGCAUGUGCGCGAGUCAUUGGGACCGAAUAUAACUAAACCCAGAGGCGCAAUGAAAGUGAAAGGGCGCGCCUCGCGCGCGCCCACCAGGGAAGAUGCGCGGGCGUCCUCGCACGCCCCGCCGCAUUCCCGAGGCGUUUCGAGAAAGCCACCGCGCGAUUAUCGAGACGCACUGAGAGCGUACACGCUGGGACCCGAAAGAUGGUGAACUAUGCCUGGUCAGGUCGAAGUAGGGGAAA